GGGCCAGUCGGCUCAGUCGGUUAAACGUGGUGCUGACAACACCGAGGUCGCAGGUUCGAUUCCUGUUUGGACCC
rnacentral:tRNA from 1 species